rnacentral:rRNA from 1 species
UACGUAGGGGGCUAGCGUUGUCCGGAAUCAUUGGGCGUAAAGAGCGCGUAGGCGGUCCGGUAAGUCAGACGUGAAAUCCCUCGGCUCAACCGGGGAACUGCGUCUGAUACUGGGUGGCUUGAAUUCGGGAGAGGGAUGCGGAAUUCCAGGUGUAGCGGUGAAAUGCGUAGAUAUCUGGAGGAACACCGGUGGCGAAGGCGGCAUCCUGGACCGAGAUUGACGCUGAGGCGCGAAAGCCAGGGGAGCAAACGGG